UUCCUGACGUGUGAUGGAAUUCUAGCGGUGAGGACUGGGCUAGACAAAAUUUAACAAUAGCAUUCAGCAUUGUCAAAUGAAGCAAGAAAUGUUAACGUUUUUUUUUGUAUACACUAGCGGAGAUUUACUGCUUGCAAUUUUCUGUAUUUUCGUGUGGAGACCCUUGUCUGUGAAUUGCAAAAUUGUGUUUUAAAUGUAUCUGUAGGUUAUGCUGCAGUGCCUGUGAUCGAAAGGUUGCUGGUUCAAAUCCCAGGGUUGGCAGAGUGAUUCCACUCUUGGGCCCUUGAGCGAUGCCCUUAACCUCUAAUUUCUCCGGGGACUGUCUGACACUGUUUCCACCAAAGAAAUGUAUGUCAUUUUGGAUAAAAAUGUCUGCCAAUUAUAUAAAGUGGAAUUAAUCAAGACUCAUAUUUUGCAACAUCGUUACAAGUCGCUAGAAGAACGAGGGAAUGCUACCUUAGCACAUGAUGCUCAGCCCUGAAGAGCAUAAUUAUUUUUUCAUAAUUAGGUAUCUACAGUUAAGUUAACAACACCCUUGAUUAAUUCCCUAAAGUAAUAGUAAUUGUUUGUCCCAAGUCUGAGGGCAUUUGCAAUUUAUUUAUUAAGAAGGUGUUGUGGACCCCUGUGAAAUAAUCCUGCCUCCGAUUCUGUCAGGUGAUUCUGUAUGCAUAGCUACCCCCCAGCGUCACAUAGUGACCUGGCCACUGUUCUACAAGAGGAAUGGCUGAAAAUUCCUCUGGCCACUGUGCAGGACUUGAAUCUGUCAGUCCCAAUACAAACUGAUGCUGUAUUGGCUGCAAAAGGAGGCUGUACACUAUAAUAAAAAAAUUAUUGUGGUCUAAAACCAGGUAUUACAGUUUCAUCGUCCAGCCCCUAUAAGUUUGUUGUAAAAGCAAAGUGGCAUAAAAUGAACAUUCGUAAAGCAGCAGAUACCUGUACGCUCCUCUAUUUACGAACGAAUUACUUUCCGGACGGCCGUUCGUAACUUGAAAUGUUCAUAAGUAGAAGAGUGUCUCUAUAUGCAAAAAAGCAAAUGUCAACUUGCAAUGAAAAUUCUAAACUUGUAUCUGAACAUUAGAAACUGACAGUUUUUUUAAAAAAGGGGGGGGUUUUAUGGGAAAACAGCUACCUAACUAACAUGAGGAGGUCUGUAAGAUGUCUGCCUUUUCAGUCACAGUUAGUAGAAGGCUGAGGGUUGGGAGACGCUCUGAAUUGGUGAUUGGUCCAUUAUUUGUUUAAAUGGUGCUGUAACAGCACAGUAACACUACUUUCACCAGUACUAUGUGUCCUUACCUUCACUGUGAGGGUCCACAUGGCGAAGUUGGCUCAGUGGUUUCUUGUCUUUAUAAUGUGAUGUUCUGAGUUCUGACAGGGCCACACUUAUUUUGCUUUUUUUCUUGAUCCCUUGUAAAUAAUGAGUUAUCGUUCUUUCUAAGAGAUUUUCCUGCGAAUACAGAACAACAUUGGUCCUGUGUGCUGACUUAGGGUUGGCUGGUCUUCAGGAAGCGGUGAAGGUGAUUGGAUGCCUCUGUGGUAUCCCUGUCUCCACCUGCCACAUGACUGGCCUCUCCAAGUCCAACUGUAUCAAAGCAGUGUCCUCCACAGGGCUUCCCGGCUGUAUUUGCACCCUGUGGUGAUUCUUGUCCCCCUUCUGCAUGCUUUCAGGAAUGUAAGUUUCAAGGGGGACCAGGAAAGGUUCUUGUUAAUCUUCCAAUGUGUGAGCAGCCAGACCAAAGUCUUAAUUUCUGAUGUAGACGCUUGCUAAGUGUCUCCAAACGCAGGAGCCUACUCUUGCCUCUAUCAAAAUAUCACAAUAAUGCAAGACAAAGAUGUGCAUUGGAUUUUUGGUUUAGAUAUUCUGAAUUUGUAUAUUUAUUCCAGGGGUGCCCAACCCAGUGUUCCCAUGUCGAUUGCGAGAUGAUUAAUGGAUAAGGCUUUAUUUCAUUGGUGGUCAGCUGGUGGUCAACCUCUCUUUGUAAAAUUAUUACUGCAAAAAAAAAAAAAGGUUGGGCACCGCUGGCUUUACAUUUGAUUUUAUUUCUCCAAAAAAAAGAUGCAUUAGGCAUUGACAGCAACAGGGCCUCAGGGUCUGGAUGCUUCUUGAUUUUGAGGACCUCCUCAUGACCUCGCUAAUGGCGCUCUACUUUUUGCACAAUCCAUUGAGGCUAGCCACUUCCUGAAUGGUGCGAUGCUGCUGGACACAUGGACUUAAGCAAGGUUGUGGAGUCGCACAGGGCAGUGUGGUGAGGAGGAGGAGACUGGGGUGCAUUAUCAUAGUUUGGACCGCAGGGGGAAGUAAAACACAUGAAUGCCUUUCUUGGAUUUGUCUCUGUUUCCGUUGAAAUUAAUUUGGGCCGAAUUCCAUUAGCAACACAAAGGCAAGGUCCACUGCAACUAAAGUGCAGACAGUAAACUACACCAACCAAGAGGACCUCCCACUGAUUUGCCGACUGGAGAGGUGAUGGAUUGGAUGCAGGCCGGAGUCAGCCAGUUGGUGACCGCUGCUGUAUAUAAAUGCAAGCCUUAACGCCAUGCGAGUCUGACAGAACGCCACAGCUCUUGUUCAAGAGGGCUGGAAGCCCCUGGAUCACAUACAACCCUUCUCCUUCUCCACCCAUGGCUAUAGCAGGGG